UACAGAGACUGCAAGCGUUGUUCGGAUUCAUUGGGCGUAAAGGGUCCGUAGGCGGUCGGCUAAGUCUGAUGUGAAAUCUCGCAGCUUAACUGCGAUAGGUCAUUGGAAACUGGCCGACUCGAGGACUGGAGAGGAGACUGGAAUUGCUGGUGUAGCGGUGAAAUGCGUAGAUAUCAGCAAGAACACCGGUGGCGAAGGCGGGUCUCUGGACAGUUCCUGACGCUCAGGGACGAAAGCUAGGGGAGCAAACGGG
rnacentral:rRNA from 1 species